ACAGAGGGGGCAAGCGUUGUUCGGAAUUACUGGGCGUAAAGGGCGCGUAGGCGGCCUUCUAAGUCGGACGUGAAAUCCCCGGGCUCAACCCGGGAACUGCGUCCGAGACUGGAAGGCUCGAAUCCGGGAGAGGGAUGUGGAAUUCCAGGUGUAGCGGUGAAAUGUGUAGAUAUCUGGAGGAACACCGGUGGCGAAGGCGGCAUCCUGGACCGAGAUUGUCGCUGAGGCGCGAAAGCUAGGGUAGCAAACGGGA
rnacentral:rRNA from 1 species